rnacentral:rRNA from 1 species
ACAUGCAAGUCGAACGGAAAGGCCUCUUCGGAGGUACUCGAGUGGCGAACGGGUGAGUAACACGUGGGUAAUCUGCCCUGCACUUCGGGAUAAGCCUGGGAAACUGGGUCUAAUACCGGAUAUGACCACGGAACGCAUGUUUUGUGGUGGAAAGCUUUUGCGGUGUGGGAUGGGCCCGCGGCCUAUCAGCUUGUUGGUGGGGUGACGGCCUACCAAGGCGACGACGGGUAGCCGGCCUGAGAGGGUGUCCGGCCACACUGGGACUGAGAUACGGCCCAGACUCCUACGGGAGGCAGCAGUGGGGAAUAUUGCACAAUGGGCGCAAGCCUGAUGCAGCGACGCCGCGUGGGGGAUGACGGCCUUCGGGUUGUAAACCUCUUUCAGCAGGGACGAAGCGCAAGUGACGGUACCUGCAGAAGAAGCACCGGCCAACUACGUGCCAGCAGCCGCGGUAAUACGUAGGGUGCGAGCGUUGUCCGGAAUUACUGGGCGUAAAGA